UACAGAGGGUGCGAGCGUUAAUCGGAAUUACUGGGCGUAAAGCGCACGUAGGUGGCGACGUAAGUCGGGUGUGAAAGCCCCGGGCUCAACCUGGGAAUUGCAUUCGAGACUGCAUUGCUGGAGUACGGAAGAGGAAGGCGGAAUUCCCGGUGUAGCGGUGAAAUGCGCAGAUAUCAGGAAGAACACCUAUGGCGAAGGCAGCUCUCUGGGACGGUACUGACGCUGAGACGCGAAAGCGUGGGGAGCGAACAGG
rnacentral:rRNA from 1 species